AGCGGCGGACGGGUGAGUAAUGCCUAGGAAUCUGCCUAGUGGUGGGGGAUCAACGUUCGGAAACGGACGCUAAUACCGCAUACGUCCUACGGGAGAAAGCGGGGGAUCUUCGGACCUCGCGCCAUUAGAUGAGCCUAGGUCGGAUUAGCUAGUUGGUGAGGUAAUGGCUCACCAAGGCGACGAUCCGUAACUGGUCUGAGAGGAUGAUCAGUCACACUGGAACUGAGACACGGUCCAGACAUCCUACGGGAGGCAGCAGUGGGGAAUAUUGGACAAUGGGCGAAAGCCUGAUCCAGCCAUGCCGCGUGUGUGAAGAAGGUCUUCGGAUUGUAAAGCACUUUAAGCUGGGAGGAAGGGCAGUAAGUUAAUACCUUGCUGUUUUGACGUUACCAGCAGAAUAAGCACCGGCUAACUUCGUGCCAGCAGCCGCGGUAAUACGAAGGGUGCAAGCGUUAAUCGGAAUUACUGGGCGUAAAGCGCGCGUAGGUGGUUCAGCAAGUUGGAUGUGAAAGCCCCGGGCUCAACCUGGGAACUGCAUCCAAAACUACUGGGCUAGAGUAUGGUAGAGGGUGGUGGAAUUUCCUGUGUAGCGGUGAAAUGCGUAGAUAUAGGAAGGAACACCAGUGGCGAAGGCGACCACCUGGACUGAUACUGACACUGAGGUGCGAAAGCGUGGGGAGCAAACAGGAUUAGAUACCCUGGUAGUCCACGCCGUAAACGAUGUCAACUAGCCGUUGGGAGUCUUGAACUCUUAGUGGCGCAGCUAACGCAUUAAGUUGACCGCCUGGGGAGUACGGCCGCAAGGUUAAAAACUCAAAUGAAUUGACGGGGGCCCGCACAAGCGGUGG
rnacentral:rRNA from 1 species